GACGAACGCUGGCGGCGUGCCUAAUACAUGCAAGUCGAGCGAGACUCUUCGGAGUCUAGCGGCGGACGGGUGAGUAACACGUGGGCAACCUGCCUGUAAGACUGGGAUAACACCGGGAAACCGGUGCUAAUACCGGAUAAUCCUUUUUCUCUCAUGAGGAAAAGCUGAAAGUCGGUUUCGGCUGACACUUACAGAUGGGCCCGCGGCGCAUUAGCUAGUUGGUGAGGUAAUGGCUCACCAAGGCGACGAUGCGUAGCCGACCUGAGAGGGUGGUACGCCACCGUGGGACUGAGACACGGCCCAGACUCCUACGGGGGGCAGCAGUAGGGAAUCUUCCACAAUGGACGAGAGGCUGAUGGGGCAACGCCGCGUGAGCGAUGAAGGCCUUCGGGUCGUAAAGCUCUGUUGUUAGGGAAGAACAAGUACCGGAGUAACUGCCGGUACCUUGACGGUACCUAACCAGAAAGCCACGGCUAACUACGUGCCAGCCGCCGCAGUAACAC
rnacentral:rRNA from 1 species